rnacentral:rRNA from 1 species
GGAAUCGCUAAACAGCGUGUAUGUGGCGGUGCUUGUCCGCACGUAUUCCGAAAGGGAAUGAGGUUAAUAUUCCUCAACCUGGUAUCUUCACGUAGGCUCGUAGCCUCAGAGCGGUAACGCAAGUGAACCGGGAGACGCUAUCGUUAGCUCCAGCAAGAGUUAUCUUUUCUUGUUUAGGGAUUGCUGACCCUGAAAUCAGURUCAUUCGGCGAUAGGGUUGGCUGGUCCCGUAGAGCACUGUACCUUUCACAGUGUCU